CACUCAGCUGGGAAGCUAGCGCAAAUGGGAAACAGGACUUCCUGUGGUUUUUCAUAAAAUAAAAGCCGCGACUCUGACUCUGUAGUAACGUAGCAACCAGGUUACAUUGGUGUCUCCAUCUCUCUCCUCUGUGAUCUGUCUCUGUCAAGCAGGUUGGACAAGACUCAACCCAGACCAACUGCCUCAAGAAGACGAGGAGAACUUCAUUCUAAAUUUGGUGCCGUGUGGUUCACCCAUCCAGGAACCAGCACACCAGGCUCCACCCAUCCAAGAACCAGCACACCAGGCUCCACCCAUCAAAGAACCAGCACACCAGGCUCCACCCAUCCAAGAACCAGCACACCUGGCCCCACCCAUCCAGGAACCAGCACACCUGGCCCCACCCAUCCAGGAACCAGCACACCUGGCCCCACCCAUCCAGGAACCAGCACACCUGGCCCCACCCAUCCAGGAACCAGCACACCUGGCCCCACCCAUCCAGGAACCAGCACACCAGGCUCCACCCAUCCAAGAACCAGCACACCAGGCUCCACCCAUCCAAGAACCAGCACACCAGGCUCCACCCAUCCAAGAACCAGCACACCAGGUCUCAGCUGUGCAGCCACCACUGCGGGGUCCACAGCAACGUAAAAGACUACAAAAAAAUCAAAGAUUGCCCUCACAGUCGGCUUGAAAUGUUCCCAGUCUGUGAAAUAAUAAAGACAAGGAAAAGAAAGGGGAGGACAGAACAUCUUUAUGACUGGCAGCCCUGCACAAUGUGUGGAAAGACCUGGCCUCCAUCCUGGCAGCCAGCCUGAUUCCCAUCCCAUGCAGCCUGCAAAUAUGCAACAUACAUUGCAAACAUAAAUUUUUUCCUUGGUCUUGUUAAGUGUUUUUUCUUUACAUAUUUUUUGUUGUCCACUUGUAUUGUUCCAUAACAUUGUCAUGUUACAUCAGUUAAGCAGUUUGUGAUGUAAUUUGAACUUUAAUAUUCUUCAUGUUUUGUCUUCAAGCUUGUUACAAUCUCUUUUAUGUGUAUGGAUUCAAUAAAGGGCA